GGUGCCCGCGCCGCCGCCACCACCCGCCCCAGGUGCGCAUGUGACCGACAGCACCGCCCCCUCGGGCUGGGCCUGAUUUUCUCAUUGGCUUCCCCCGUGAUGUGAAAUCUGGCAACUAUACAGUGUUACAAGUUGUGGAAGCCCUUGGGUCCUCUCUAGAGAAUCCAGAACCCCGAACUCGGGCACGAGGAAUCCAGCUUUUGUCACAGGUGCUACUCCACUGUCACACCUUGCUCCUGGAGAAGGAAGUGGUACACCUGAUACUGUUCUAUGAGAACCGGCUGAAGGACCAUCAUCUUGUGAUCCCAUCUGUCCUGCAGGGUUUGAAGGCACUUAGCCUGUGUGUGGCCCUGCCCCCAGGGCUGGCUGUUUCUGUGCUUAAAGCCAUCUUCCAGGAAGUGCAUGUACAGUCCCUGCCACAGGUGGACCGACACACAGUCUACAAUAUCAUCACCAAUUUUAUGCGAACCCGGGAAGAAGAGCUAAAGAGCCUAGGAGCUGACUUCACCUUUGGCUUCAUCCAGGUGAUGGAUGGGGAAAAGGAUCCCCGUAAUCUUCUGGUGGCCUUCCGCAUCGUCCAUGACCUCAUCUCCAGGGACUAUAGCCUGGGACCCUUUGUGGAGGAGUUGUUUGAAGUGACAUCCUGUUAUUUCCCUAUUGAUUUUACCCCUCCACCUAAUGAUCCCCAUGGUAUCCAGAGAGAAGACCUCAUCCUGAGUCUUCGCGCUGUGCUGGCUUCUACACCACGAUUCGCUGAGUUUCUGCUGCCCCUGUUGAUUGAGAAAGUGGAUUCUGAGGUUCUGAGUGCCAAGUUGGAUUCUCUACAGACUCUGAAUGCUUGCUGUGCUGUGUAUGGACAGAAGGAACUGAAGGACUUCCUCCCC
rnacentral:sRNA from 1 species